GGUAAUGUUUUUCUAAACAAACAACAACUACGCGUCAAUUAAUGUCUUUCCAGUAAAAUGUUGAUUUCUGAUCAAAACCGUAUAGUUUUCUUUCGACCAAAGAAUGCAACAUAAAGAUAAACUCCUAACUAUAGUUCGAAAACUAUGAUAUAUAACAAUGAUCAUAGCCAAUUAUCCACGCGAUUUAACUUUUGUUUGAUUUUUAUACAUUGUAAUUUUCAGGGUAUCUUUACUGGAAGAUGUGGUACUGCAGUGGAUCAUGGUGUGGUUGCUGUUGGAUAUGGUACUGAGAAUGGUAUGGAUUAUUGGAUUGUGAGGAACUCGUGGGGCGCUAGCUGGGGAGAGAAGGGCUACCUCAAAAUGGAACGUAACAUUGCCAGCCGUCAAGGCAAGUGUGGGUUAGCCAUAGAGCCUUCAUAUCCAGUAAAGUCUGGCCCAAAUCCUCCUAACCCCGGUCCAUCUCCUCCGACUCCAGUCAAGCCACCUACAGUCUGUGAUGAUUAUGCUACAUGCGCUGAAGGCAGCACUUGCUGUUGUAUCUUUGAGUCACGUAGGACUUGCUUCUCUUGGGGAUGCUGCCCACUUGAAGGAGCUAUUUGCUGUGAAGACCACUACAGUUGUUGCCCACACGACUAUCCUGUCUGCAACGUUUAUGAAGGCACCUGCUCAAUUGUAAGUUCUUCUAUGCACAGACAACAUAAAGAAUUUGGCUACUAACGUGUUACUAACAUCUUUCUAAGUAUUUUUCUUUACUUACGCGAUUGCUUUUCUUGAUAUACAGAGCAAGAACAACCCACUGGGAGUGAAGGCAAUGAAGCACAUUCUUGCAAAACCAAUCGGGGCCUACGGAAAUGGAGGAAAGAAGAGCAGUUCUUGAAAUUCUACGAAGCACUAAUACUAUGGAAUGAGGUAAAAUAGCAGGCUAACGGAGGAUGUUAAAAGAAUGCUGGUGCUUGGCUUGACAACCUC
rnacentral:lncRNA from 1 species